GUGGAUUAGAUACCCUGGUAGUCCACGCCGUAAACGUUGGGCACUAGGUGUGGGAGGUUUUUAUUCCUUCUUUGCCGAAGCUAACGCAUUAAGUGCCCCGCCUGGGGAGUACGGUCGCAAGGCUAAAACUCAAAGGAAUUGACGGGGGCCCGCACAAGCGGUGGAGCAUGUGGUUUAAUUCGACGCAACGCGAAAAACCUUACCUGGGCUUGACAUGCUGGUAGUAGUGAACCGAAAGGGAAACGAUCCUGAGCAAUCAGGAAGCCAACACAGGUGCUGCACGGCCGUCGACAACU
rnacentral:rRNA from 1 species